rnacentral:rRNA from 1 species
GUCCUUAGUUACCAGCACGUUAUGGUGGGCACUCUAAGGAGACUGCCGGGUGACAAACCGGAGGAAGGUGGGGAGUGACGUCAAGUCAUCAUGGCCCUUACGGCCUGGGCUACACACGUGCUACAAUGGUCGGUACAAAGGGUUGCCAAGCCGCGAGGUGGAGCUAAUCCCAUAAAACCGAUCGUAGUCCGGAUCGCAGUCUGCAACUCGACUGCGUGAAGUCGGAAUCGCUAGUAAUCGUGAAUCAGAAUGUCACGGUGAAUACGUUCCCGGGCCUU